rnacentral:rRNA from 1 species
AGUUGGAAUCGCUAGUAAUCCCGGAUCAGCAUGCCGGGGUGAAUACGUUCCCGGGCCUUGUACACACCGCCCGUCACACCACGAAAGUCGGUUCUACCCGAAGCCGCCGGACUAACCAGCAAUGGAGGUAGGCGUCUACGGUAGGGCUGGUAAUUGGGGUGAAGUCGUAACAAGGUAGCCGUAGGGGAACCUGCGGCUGGAUCACCUCCUUAAGGG